AAGUCGUAACAAGGUUUCCGUAGGUGAACCUGCGGAAGGAUCAUUACUGAGUGCGGGCCCUCUGGGUCCAACCUCCCACCCGUGUAUACCGUACCCUGUUGCUUCGGCGGGCCCGCCGUUCUGGCCGCCGGGGGGCAUCCGCCCCCGGGCCCGCGCCCGCCGAAGACACCCUGAACGCUGUCUGAAGAUUGCAGUCUGAGCGAUAAGCACAAAUUAGUUAAAACUUUCAACAACGGAUCUCUUGGUUCCG
rnacentral:misc_RNA from 1 species